rnacentral:rRNA from 1 species
UGAACGCUGGCGGCGUGCUUAACACAUGCAAGUCGAACGGGAUCCUUGGAUUCGUCUAAGGUGAGAGUGGCGAACGGGUGAGUAACACGUAGGCGACCUGCCCCAAAGAGGGGGAUAACUACUGGAAACGGUAGCUAAUACCCCAUAAUAUCCUCGGGUUUGGAUACCCUUGGAUUAAAGUUCCGACGCUUUGGGAGGGGCCUGCGGCCCAUCAGCUAGUUGGUAGGGUAAUGGCCUACCAAGGCAGAGACGGGUAGGGGGCGUGAGAGCGUGAUCCCCCACACUGGCACUGAUACACGGGCCAGACUCCUACGGGAGGCAGCAGUGAGGAAUAUUGCCCAAUGGACGCAAGUCUGAGGCAGCAACGCCGCGUGGAUGAUGAAUGCCUUCGGGUUGUAAAAUCCUUUUCUGGAGGAAGAGCAAGGACGGUACUUCAGGAAUAAGCGUCGGCUAACUAC